UACGGAGGAUCCAAGCGUUAUCCGGAAUCAUUGGGUUUAAAGGGUCCGUAGGCGGUUUAAUAAGUCAGUGGUGAAAGCCCAUCGCUCAACGGUGGAACGGCCAUUGAUACUGUUAAACUUGAAUUAUUAGGAAGUAACUAGAAUAUGUAGUGUAGCGGUGAAAUGCUUAGAGAUUACAUGGAAUACCAAUUGCGAAGGCAGGUUACUACUAAUGGAUUGACGCUGAUGGACGAAAGCGUGGGUAGCGAAC
rnacentral:rRNA from 1 species